AGGAGCAACAGCCCUAGUGGCGGGGCCAGCUCUGGAAACCUGGAUUCAGCCCCUGCAGGAACUCCGGAGGUCUCCGUCUGCAGGGCCUGGAGGCUCCGGGGCGGG
rnacentral:pre_miRNA from 1 species